CCUACGGGUGGCAGCAGUGGGGAAUAUUGCACAAUGGGGGAAACCCUGAUGCAGCAACGCCGCGUGAGUGAAGAAGGUUUUCGGAUUGUAAAGCUCUGUUAGCAGGGAAGAGGAAGGACGGUACUUGCAGAGGAAGCCACGGCUAACUACGUGCCAGCAGCCGCGGUAAUAGGUAGGUGCCAAGGGUUGCUCGGAAUAACUGGGGGUAAAGGAUGCGUAGGCGGGGGAACAAGUUAGAUGGUAAAUAUAUAGGCUUAACCUGUAGAAAGCAUAUAAUACUGUGUAACUAGAGUGCAGGAGAGGUAAGUGGAAUUCCUGGUGUAGCGGUGAAAUGCGUAGAGAUUAGGAAGAACACCAGUGGCGAAGGCGACUUACUGGACUGUAACUGACGCUGAGGCAUGAGAGCGUGGGGAGCAAACAGGAUUAGAUACCCUAGUAGUC
rnacentral:rRNA from 1 species